GUUGAAGUUUCCAAGGGCGCACGGUGGAUGCCUUGGCAUCGGGAGCCGAUGAAGGACGUGGGAAUCUGCGAUAAGCCUGGGGGAGUCGAUAACCGGACUGUGAUCCCAGGGUCUCCGAAUGGGGGAACCCCGCCGCACUUGAUGCGGUGACCCGCCGUUGAACGCAUAGACGGUGUGGAGGGAACGCGGGGAAGUGAAACAUCUCAGUACCCGCAGGAAGAGAAAACAACAGUGAUUCCGUCAGUAGUGGCGAGCGAACGCGGAUGUGGCCAAACCGUGCGCGUGUGAUACCCGGCAGGGGUUGCGCGCAGGGGGUUGUGGGGUCUGGCUUCGACCAUCUGCCGGUGGUCGGGGGCGAGUGCAGCAGUGUAGGCGAACGGUCUUGAAGGGCCGGCCGUAGAGGGUGUGAGUCCCGUAGCCGUAACGCUGGUCUGCCGUCCUUGCCGGUGUCCCCAAGUAGCACGGGGCCCGAGAAAUCCCGUGCGAAUCUGUCAGGACCACCUGAUAAGCCUGAAUACUACCCGAUGACCGAUAGCGGACAAGUACCGUGAGGGAAAGGUGAAAAGUACCCCGGGAGGGGAGUGAAACAGUACCUGAAACCGUGCGCCUACAAACCGUCAGAGCCGGCCCCGCUGGGGGUGCGGUGAUGGCGUGCCUUUUGAAGAAUGAGCCUGCGAGUCAGUGCCACGUCGCGAGGUUAACCCGUGUGGGGGAGCCGUAGCGAAAGCGAGUCUGAACAGGGCGUUCAGUGGCGUGGUCUGGACCCGAAGCGGAGUGAUCUACCCAUGGCCAGGUUGAAGCGACGGUAAGACGUCGUGGAGGACCGAACCCACUUCAGUUGAAAAUGGAGGGGAUGAGCUGUGGGUAGGGGUGAAAGGCCAAUCAAACUCCGUGAUAGCUGGUUCUCCCCGAAAUGCAUUUAGGUGCAGCGUUGCGUGUUUCUUGCCGGAGGUAGAGCUACUGGAUGGCCGAUGGGCCCCACAAGGUUACUGACGUCAGCCAAACUCCGAAUGCCGGCAAGUGAGAGCGCAGCAGUGAGACUGCGGGGGAUAAGCUUCGUAGUCGAGAGGGAAACAGCCCAGACCACCGGCUAAGGCCCCCAAGCGUGUGCUAAGUGGGAAAGGAUGUGGAGUUGCGAAGACAACCAGGAGGUUGGCUUAGAAGCAGCCACCCUUGAAAGAGUGCGUAAUAGCUCACUGGUCAAGUGAUUCCGCGCCGACAAUGUAGCGGGGCUCAAGCACACCGCCGAAGCCGUGGCAGUCCCACGCGAACCCUAGCCUUCGUGGUUCAGGGGUGGGGCUGGGUAGGGGAGCGUCGUGCGGGCAGUGAAGCCCCCGGGUGACCGAGGGGUGGAGGCCGCACGAGUGAGAAUGCAGGCAUGAGUAGCGAAAGACGGGUGGGAAACCCGUCCGCCGGAUGAUCAAGGGUUCCAGGGUCAAGCUCAUCUGCCCUGGGUAAGUCGGGACCUAAGGCGAGGCCGACAGGCGUAGUCGAUGGACAACGGGUCGAUAUUCCCGUACCGGCGAAGGACCGCCCAUGCCGGACAGCCGAUGCUGACCGCCCGGACCCCGCACCGUCCUCCUUCGGGAGGGCACCGCGGGGCGAGCGCGGGGACCAGAGCUGCGAGGCAAGCGUAUUAACAGGUGUGACGCAGGAAGGCAGCCCGGCCAGGCGAUGGUUGACCUGGUCCAAGGAUGUAGGGCGCGCGGUCGGCAAAUCCGCCGCGCACGAAGCCUGAGAUCCGACGGGACCCCCUCACGGGGGGAUCGGGUGAUCCUAUGCUGCCGAGAAAAGCAUCGACGCGAGGUCCCAGCCGCCCGUACCCCAAACCGACACAGGUGAUCAGGUAGAGAAUACCAAGGCGAUCGAGAGAAUCACGGUCAAGGAACUCGGCAAAAUGCCCCCGUAACUUCGGGAGAAGGGGGACCCCGACCGUGGAGGCCGCAUGCCGGCCCGAGCGGGCAAGGGUCGCAGAGACCAGGGGGAAGCGACUGUUUACUAAAAACACAGGUCCGUGCGAAGUCGCAAGACGAUGUAUACGGACUGACUCCUGCCCGGUGCUGGAAGGUUAAGAGGACCCGUCAGCCAGCAAUGGCGAAGCGGAGAAUUCAAGCCCCAGUAAACGGCGGUGGUAACUAUAACCAUCCUAAGGUAGCGAAAUUCCUUGUCGGGUAAGUUCCGACCUGCACGAAUGGAGUAACGACUUCCCCGCUGUCUCGACCGUGAACUCGGCGAAAUUGCACUACGAGUAAAGAUGCUCGUUACGCGCAGCAGGACGGAAAGACCCCGAGACCUUCACUACAGUUUGGUAUUGGUGUUCGGAGCGGCUUGUGUAGGAUAGGUGGGAGACUGUGAAGCCGGCACGCCAGUGCCGG
rnacentral:rRNA from 1 species